CCCUUCGGGGUGAAGAUAAGACGGAUUAGCGGCGGACGGGUGAGUAACACGUGAGUAACCUGCCUUUUACACAGGGAUAGCCUCGGGAAACCGGGAUUAAAACCUGAUGAAACUAUCAAAUCACAUGAUUAAGAAAGUUAAAACUCCGGUGGUAAAAGAUGGACUCGCGUCCCAUUAGCUAGUUGGUGAAGGUAACGGCCCACCAAGGCAACGAUGGGUAGCCGGCCUGAGAGGGUGAACGGCCACAUUGGAACUGAGAAACGGUCCAAACUCCUACGGGAGGCAGCAGGU
rnacentral:rRNA from 1 species